rnacentral:rRNA from 1 species
UACGUAGGGUGCAAGCGUUGUCCGGAAUUAUUGGGCGUAAAGAGCUCGUAGGCGGUCUGUCGCGUCGGCUGUGAAAACCCGGAGCUCAACUCCGGGCCUGCAGUCGAUACGGGCAAACUGGAGUACUGCAGGGGAGACUGGAAUUCCUGGUGUAGCGGUGAAAUGCGCAGAUAUCAGGAGGAACACCGGUGGCGAAGGCGGCAUCCUGGACCAACACUGACACUGAGGAGCGAAAGCCAGGGGAGCAAACGGG